rnacentral:rRNA from 1 species
CCCUUAGAUGUUCUGGGCUGCACACGUGCUACACUGGCAGGUUCAGCGAGCUUCAUGCCCUGAUCUGAAAGGAAUGGGAAAUCUUUUCAAAACCUGCCGUGCUUGGGAUAGAUGUUUGCAAUUAUUCAUCUUCAACGAGGAUUGCCUUGUAAGCGCACGUCAUCAGCGUGCAUUGAAUACGACCCUGUAUUCUGUACACACCGCCCGUCGCUCCUACCGAUUGAAAUUUUCGGUGAGUUGACAGGAGGAUUUUUUUGAAACUGGUUCGCCAGUGGAUUUUAGAUCCAAAUGCCAACGAAUCGAUGGCUUUAGAGGAAGGAGAAGUCGUAACA